rnacentral:rRNA from 1 species
GAUGAACGCUGGCGGCGUGCCUAAUACAUGCAAGUCGAGCGUACAGACGAGGAGCUUGCUCCUCUGACGUUAGCGGCGGACGGGUGAGUAACACGUGGAUAACCUACCUAUAAGACUGGGAUAACUUCGGGAAACCGGAGCUAAUACCGGAUAACAUGUUGAACCGCAUGGUUCAACAGUGAAAGACGGUUUUGCUGUCACUUAUAGAUGGAUCCGCGUCGCAUUAGCUAGUUGGUAAGGUAACGGCUUACCAAGGCAACGAUGCGUAGCCGACCUGAGAGGGUGAUCGGCCACACUGGAACUGAGACACGGUCCAGACUCCUACGGGAGGCAGCAGUAGGGAAUCUUCCGCAAUGGGCGAAAGCCUGACGGAGCAACGCCGCGUGAGUGAAGAAGGUCUUCGGAUCGUAAAACUCUGUUAUUAGGGAAGAACAAAUGUGUAAGUAACUAUGCACGUCUUGACGGUACCUAAUCAGAAAGCCACGGCUAACUACGUG